AGAGUUUGAUUAUGGCUCAGGAUGAACGCUAGCGAUAGGCUUAACACAUGCAAGUCGAGGGGCAACAUGUAGGUAGCAAUACCUUGGUGGCGACCGGCGCACGGGUGAGUAACACGUAUGCAACCUACCCAUAACUGGGGGAUAGCUCGUUGAAAGACGGAUUAAUACCCCAUAAUACAGGGACACCGCCUGGUGAUAUUUGUUAAAGAUUAAUUGGUUAUGGAUGGGCAUGCGUUCCAUUAGGUAGUUGGUAGGGGUAACGGCCCACCAAGCCUGCGAUGGAUAGGGGAACUGAGAGGUUUAUCCCCCACACUGGUACUGAGACACGGACCAGACUCCUACGGGAGGCAGCAGUGAGGAAUAUUGGUCAAUGGGCGAGAGCCUGAACCAGCCAAGUCGCGUGAAGGAUGACGGUAUUAUGUAUUGUAAACUUCUUUUAUGGGGGAAUAAAGUGUACCAUGUAUGGUAUUUUGUAUGUACCCUAUGAAUAAGCAUCGGCUAACUCCGUGCCAGCAGCCGCGGUAAUACGGAGGAUGCGAGCGUUAUUCGGAUUUAUUGGGUUUAAAGGGUGCGUAGGCGGGUCUAUAAGUCAGCGGUGAAAUUCCGGAGCUCAACUUCGGGACUGCCGUUGAAACUGUAGGUCUUGAGUAUGGACGAGGUAGGCGGAAUUCGUGGUGUAGCGGUGAAAUGCAUAGAUAUCACGAAGAACUCCGAUAGCGCAGGCAGCUUACCAGGCCAUAACUGACGCUGAAGCACGAAAGUGUGGGUAUCAAACAGGAUUAGAUACCCUGGUAGUCCACACAGUAAACGAUGAAUACUAACUGUUUGCGAUAUACAGUAAGCGGUACAGCGAAAGCGUUAAGUAUUCCACCUGGGGAGUACGCCGGCAACGGUGAAACUCAAAGGAAUUGACGGGGGCCCGCACAAGCGGAGGAACAUG
rnacentral:rRNA from 1 species